UGGCUCGCCCCUGGUUCUCUGUUCUCUCUCUCCUCCCAACCUCUGUCUCCUUCUUGUCUUCAGACCCUUGUCUUAUCUACAAGUUCAGCCACUAGGGGUCGUGGAUACCCUAGAGGGUCAGUGGGAUCAGUUCUCGCUGGCACCUUGGACAAUCAAGGAGUGUGGGCUGGCUCCCAUUCCACUCUUCCUGAUUUCCUCCCCCUCUUCCUACUUUCACUUCCUUUUCUCCUUGCCUUACUCUAAAAUUUCCUUACUCUCCUACUCUAAAAUUUCCUUACUCUCCUAUGUCUAUCUUCCUUCUUCCUUAUCCCUUCCCUCUUUUCAUUCAUUCUCUUUCCUCUUUCCUUCUUUCUUUUCCUUCUCUUUCUUUUCUUCCUUUCUUACAUCCUUCCUUCCUUUUUUCUUCCUCCCUUUACUACCUUUCCUCCUUCAUUCCUUUCUUCUUUUUCUUUUUCCUUUCUCCCUUUUCUUUCUCUUUCUUUCCUUCUUUUCUUUUUUUCUUUCUUCCUUUUUCCUUCCCCCUUUCUUCUUCCUUCCCUCCUUCCUUCCUUUCCUCCUCCCUUCCCUUCCUCCUUCCUUUUUCCAUUCUUCCUUUUCUCAUUCUUUUUUCCUUUCUUUCCUCCCUCAUCUUUCCUUCCCUCCUUUUCUCUCUUCCUCCCUCUCUCCCUCUUUCCCUUUCUUCCUUCCUUCCCUUUUUCCUUCCUUUCUUCCUUCCUUUCCUUACAUCCCUUCCCUUCCUUUCCCUUCCCCUUCCUUCCUUCCUCCCAACCUCCCUCCCUUCCUCCCAACCUCUCUCCCUUCCUUCUUUCCUUUCUUUCUUCCCUCCUUCCUUCUUUCCUUCCCUCUUUCCUUUGUCUCUCUCAAUAGCUUCAUUUCUCUGAAUGUAUUCUGUAUCAUAGACCCCCAGCACUGGGAGUGGCAGAAAAAUCAAGAGCUAGAAAGAUAGUGGGACCAAAUAUCAGCUGUACUAAAAUGGCCAUUUCCCAUGAAAGGGAUAUUAGAAUAUUGAGAAGGCAGUAGGCUUGGUGAGUGGUUGGUAUGGGGAGCAGUAAGUCUGAAGUCAGAUCCAGAAGAGUUACUUUCCUCAUAGGGUUGUUGUGAGAUGUAAGUGAGAGCAUGUAUGGAAAGGCCUUUGCAAAUCUCAGAACAGCAUGGAUGUGUCAGCUGUUAUGAUUUUGACUAUUGCCUAGUCUGAUCUUCCACCCAGUGCAAAUCUCCUCUACAGCAUCCCAGACAAGGUCACCCCAACCUUUGCUUCUUGAACACUUGCAGCCAUGGAGAACUUGCUACCUUAAUGAGGAAGCUGAUUCCAUUGUUGGGCAGCUCUGAUUUGGGGCCUGAGUUGACUAUAUAUCCCUGUGCCUUUCUCCCAAUUCAGUCAGGAAGUUGUUUCAGUGGCCCAGAUAAAAGAUGAUGAGGGGCUGGACUAAAGGAGAUGGUAAGGAUCAGAAAAAUAGAAACAGGACUUGAUGACUGUCUGGAUAUAGAGGAUAAGGGGAAAAAAGUGAGAAUGACUUCCAAGCCCUCAGAGACAUCCUGAACAUUUCCUGGGAGCAAAUUUUGAACCUUGAGGAAGAAAAGGAAGAAGAUUAGGAGGAAAGAAGCUUUGGGAUCCUGAAGGAAGUUUGGGGAGAAAUUGAGAAGCUUGAUUGUAGUUUGAAGAAUCCUUACAUUCCCCCCUGGCUGCUCCCUCUCAGCCCCAUCCCAAGCAACUGGGACUUAUGGGAUCUAUGGGAGCCCUAUGUAUCCAUGGACCUGGGUUCAAGGUGAGGGUUCUGAUAGUGGCAGCAGUUGAUAGAAUCUAGGCCUAUAAAAUGUCCAGCUGAAAAUCAAGCCAAAUCCAGGGGAUUUAGGGAUUCAGCCCAUAAUACAGUCCCCAGGGUCAUUGCUUUUGAUGGAGACACUCAGGGAAGAAGAAAUCCAAACACAAUCAAAACUAUGAGAGGUCAAGACAGGCAUUUUUUUCUGAUAUAUAUAUAUAUUUGCUUUCUUUUGAAUCCCCAGUAUUUAAUGACUGGCACAUAGUGAGUGCUUAAUAAAUGCAUAUUCAGCAACUAUUAGAGGGAUCAAUUUGACUAAACUGGAGAAAGGAACUCAAGGCUGAACAGUGAGUCAGUGGUAAAGCUAAGACAGCCAUUUCAACAAAUCCUUGCUGAUAGUUGCUAUGGCUCAUCCCAGUGUCAGGUGCCUUGGGAGAGGGCCAGCUUGGACAGUCUUGUGGGGAAGCCAGGAUAAGGGAACUCUGGCCUCCCAGCUGUUAAUCUGUUCCACUUUUCACUAGCUUUGUAGCCUCAAAAAAGAAGAUCCUGGGGUCUAGGACUCUGGGAUGUCCUACUUGAAUAUCAUCUCUGCUAAAAGGAAAUUGAGCUUCUAACCAAAAGCACCAAUGAAAAAUCUUGUCAUGAGGGCAGCUGAGAUGGCUGUGGGGAGAGAUACAGAAAUGGUAGGAGGUGGAGAUGGUGCAGGGUGGGGCCAUGGGGAGAUGGUUCUGGGCAGGCAGAUAAAACACUGAGACACACGGACACAUGGACAUCCCUAGUGUUUCAUGGUUCAGUGAAACUCCACUAUGGGAGUAGCAUAAGAAGUCUCACAACUGAUGGCCUUAGGAUCAUAGAUCUAGGAAGGAAGAAACAUCUGAAGCCAUCUAGUCCAAAGUGGCCAUUAGCUUUUUUAUCUCAUAAAAUGAAAUCAUAGGAGCAGCGAGGUGGCAAACAAACUGGAGGAUUCCUGAGUUCAAAUCCGACAUCAGAGUCUUACAAGCUGUGUGACCCUGGACGUAACCCCAUAACCCCAACGGCCUCAACCAAAAAAUAAAUAAUUGUAAAGCACUUAGCAUAGCACGGUGUGUUAUUAAUGUUAUCUAUCAUGAUAAUUAUUUUACAUAUGAGAAAAGACCUAACAAGAUUGACUUCUCCAAGAUCACACAGAUAAUUUUUAUAAAUAGCAAAUGUAAAUUGCUGCUUAUUCUCCUGCUGUAUCAUGUUUUCAACCCGCCCCACCCCAUUCUAGGCAGGACAAAAUAACCACCGCAGGAAUUAGAGAAAACUGGAGCCAGGAGGAGUUUUAAUAGGCAGAUUUUAGAGAUUAUCUGAACGUUCUCAUUUUGACAGAUGAGGAAACUGAGGCCCAGAGACUUGCUUCACCAGAUUAGAGGCUGAGUUGGGAGGGAGGAGAAGUCGGGUCCCAACCCAGGGGACAUUCCUCUAGCUAACGCAAGCUAGAAGGGGGGAUUCAGGCCAAGGAUACCUAACUCCCCAUGGGACUUCAGCUUCCGGGGGGAGUCCUCUUCCCUCUGCCGCCGUCUCCAAUCCGGAGGAAAGUUGCUGCUGGCCCCUCUAGCUGCCUGACCGCAGGUUUAUCUCCAGGAGGGUUGUCCCUAACGGGUGCAGGGUGGGAACAGGUGAGAGAAUCUCCCACAAGCCCCUCCUCCCUACAGGUGCCUCCCUUUCCUUUCCACCCGUGGAGAGCAGUGCUUUAUCAGCAAAUUGCCGGCUUGCGGGUCCGGAAAGAUAGCCGACUCGCCCGGGGCCUCGCAGGGUGUGUGUCGGACAUUCCCAGGUCUGUUUGAGCGCAGUAGGCGGCUAAUAACGAGCGGGGGGACGCCCUCCCCCGCGCCCUUGAUGCCCAGUCGGAGGCUCGUGUUCUCCCCCCAGGAGCCCUCGCGGCCUUUGAUGGAUGGGAGCCCGGAGAUCUGAGGCCCUCCUCUGCCCGGCGAGGGCUCAGCGUCAGGGGCUGAGGGCGGAAGGCGCUGUCCGUGCGGGGACAUGGGAGACAGGGAGAGGGCAGAGGAGCGCAAUGCGCGCCCGGCCAGUGUCAAGCGCCGUGCCGAGGAAGCGGAGGCUCCACCGCGGACGGGAACUGGGGCGCAGAGAGGGGCAAAGAUCGCAGCGCUGCGAGGGGCUUCGCAACAUUAAGAAAGGAAACGAGAUUCAGUCCCGGCUCCGCUAAUUCCAGUUCCUAAACCCUCCUCGCUACGUCACGUGGCGGGCGCAGAGUGGCGGGCCAGCUUCCUGCUUCCGAAACACGGGAAGGAACAAAGCGCCCGCGGGGUAGAAUUCGAACCUAGGACCCCGUAACCGAGAUUCGAAUUCCCCACCUGGCCCCGAGAGACUCGAGCGCACGGUCCUAACGUCACGCAGGCGUUGCUCGCUCCAGCCGAAGGCUUCGGGACUUCACCUCAGCGAUGCUCUCCGCUCCGGACCACCUCCUACCCCGCCGUCUCGGGGCCUAGCACCUCUGUCAGUAACGGUCUGAAUAAUAACGAAUUCAUUUGCAUAACCCUCCCCACUAGGUUUUUCACAGCUCCCCCGUUGCCGGAGGGCCCUGUCACUCACGGGCACCCGCCCUCCCGCCCCCACUAGCCCCGCCUCUCAUUCCGAACACAGCCAAACCUUUGGCUGCCCUUCGUCCCGCCCAUCCUCUCCUUCUCUCCCCAGCCUCUCUGGUCUUGCGCGUUUUGAUUGGCCCAACGGGCCGUCCGUCUUCUUUCCCCUCCCCCUCCCGCGGGCAAGUUGGGCUGCACGGCAGCGGAGGUGGGAGCCUGAGGCGGCAGCGGCGGCGGCAGCGGCCUCCCCUCCGUCCUCCCUCCCUCCCUCCUCCCGCCCGCCCAGCUCGCCUCCCGUCUGCCCUUGUGCCUCACACACCCCCCUGGCCUCCUCCGUCCCAGCGCUCGCUCCGGGAGCUGAGCCGGCCCCGCCUGAGGAGCGGCAGCGGCGGAAAGAUCCAACUUCCUUCAGUCAAAUAAGACUUUCUACUUUGGUGCUGAGAAUCCUUAAAGAUAGUGAACAGACACCUCUUCCAGAGAACUACAGGGAGGCUGAGUGGUGACAGCGAUCUGAGAGGUCCAGGCUGACAUUCCAGACUGAAAGCAGUGGAAGAGUAGCUCCAACGUGGAUCUCCUGACUCGGAAAAUCUGAGUACAGUGGGACAAGCUUUCUCAAGAGUUUGGGCCUAGAGCUGAUGGCAGACAAUGUCAACAACUAACAACAUAGCUCAGGCUCGGAAGCUGGUGGAACAGCUCCGCAUCGAGGCUGGAGUGGAGAGGAUCAAGGUCUCCAAAGCCUCCUCCGAGCUCAUGAGUUACUGUGAACAGCACGCCCGGAAUGACCCCUUGCUGGUGGGAGUGCCUGCCUCAGAGAACCCCUUCAAGGACAAAAAGCCUUGUAUCAUUCUAUAGCUCCAUCCUCCUGUGCAUACAGAGCCUCUCUCCCUGGAAGGGCCAUCCCCAUUCAAUGCCGAUCUCAAGCCAAACCUGUCCUAAGUCACAAAAACUCUCGACGGCCAAAACCAUCCCCAGCACCAUUGCGGUCACCCCCACCACCAUGAGGAGGGGCGAACACUAUGCUUUGUGUUCGGGUGGAAAAUCAAAUCCAGUGUACCCACAAGGCGGGGUCAGCCUACCAAUUUGAAGCAGUCUAAAUGUCCUUGAGAGGAAGGGGGUAGGGGCAGGGUUUUGGUUUUUUUUUUUUUUAAGAUACUCUAGUGCCAUUUAAAUAGUGGUUUCAAAAUAAGAGUGGGUGGAGAGACAGGGGGGAGACCUAGGAUGUCUGCCAGUUAUUAGAGAGCCCUCCCAUCAAGGUCAAAGUGAACCUAGAUUGUAAUUCUUCCUAGAUUGGCCUGCCAUUCAGAGACUUGGGUUAGAUUGGCAGGAGUUCAGAGUUAAAGGAAUUGCUCAUUCUUUUAAAAAAGAAACCUACUCUUUCAUUUAAAAAAGAAAAAACAUAUGGAAAUUAUGCAUUGCUAAAAGGGGACCAGGGGAGGAUAUUUUGACAACAGUAUCAUAUAAACGGAUAAUGAAGGCAUGGAUGGGGGAGGGAGAAAGGGAGGGGGAGAGGGAGGCAGAGGGCAUAGGGAAGGGAAGUCAUCCAUGGAUCAGAGCAUGCAUUUCCCAUCUCACAGAACAUAUGGCAUUUGUAUCUUCACCACCACAUUGUGGGCAGCACUCUCUGUAUAGCUCGCCAGCCAUUAAGGGAAUUAGUUGACAGUGGCUUGAACUGGGGAGUGCCCAUCUCCUUGCAUUGCCAAUUUGGGAAGGGUGGGGGGUGGGGGAGGGGUAUUGGGGGGAAGCAUGAAGUAUAGAUGUGGGUAUUUGAAAUCUUUGAUUCCAUCCUAGCUCUUUAAUUUCUGUGUAUUGUUGCCUGAGAGGAGGGCUCAGGAUGAAUCCUUUGGUCUUGUCUUCUGAGAAUUGGGGGUGGGAGUGGGGUCAGAAUUGCUUUUUGCUUCUGAGGAUAAGGGCAUUUGAAAGUUAUUCAUUUGUUGUUGUUAUUGGGUUUUUUUUUAAUUAACUGUAUAGCUUAAUCCUUUUUUUUAAACUCCUGCCCACUUAAGAGAUGAUUCUUUGUCAAAGACACUAAAAUAAGUGCCCCCCAAGGUUCCUCGGUUUCCUUUCUCCAGGAACAAAAUGUGCCCACCUACCCCUUUAAAUCCCAGAAAGAUGGAGCUUAAGUCAAUUCAGUUCAAUCCUACAGCCAAUUAUUAAAUACUACAUGCCAGCUCUUGUACUAAAUGCCAGGUAGAGUUUAAGGCACACACUAAAAUAAAAAGAAAUUGACCCUGUCCUCCUGAAGUUUAAAAUCCUAUAGAGGAGGCAAAACUCUUGCACAAAUAACAGCAACAUAAAUUGGAAUAAAAGAAGCCAAAGGAGACGUUCCUCUCCGGUGCUGGAGUAUCUCAGAGGAUGUUGAGGGAUAGUAAAUGCUGAAUUUUCUUCUGUGGGAAGUCAGGAAAAGCUUCAGGAGGCAGGAGGUUCUGCCUGAGUCAGGCUUUAAAGAAAAGACAGAGGGAUGAUGAAAUAUUGUUAGAGCUAGAAUGCUGAGCUUCCCUGACCCUCGUGGCCAAUGAAGAGAAAUUCUCUUCCUCCUCACUAAGAAUGACCCAACAGGCUAGAAAUACCCAGUGGGGCAACCCCCUUUUACCUUAUUUGCUGCUAUUACUGGCAGCCUAUAACAAAGCAGAGAAAGUCCCUCCUCUGCUGUAUCAUAGAAUUUGGAGUUGAGACUUUAAAGAUAAACUAGUCCAAUUGUCCCAUUUUCAAUUGAGGUCUCCAGAAUCAAGUGACUUUCUACAAGGUCACACAAUGACAGAGCUGGUAUUGAAACCCCGCUUAAGGUUUAUUGUCCACAGUAGUCCUCUGGGAGUUGCAUGUAAACUGAGGGCCUGGGGAAGAAUAGAGUUCAGGGAAGCCUCUCCCUCCCCAUUCAGCAACCAAAUCUCUUUGCUCAGUAGCAAGGCCAUGGCCUCUUAGCCAGACAAAAGCCAGAUUCUAGAUGACUGAAUUCAUAGUAUCAGAUAGAUACUAAGAGACCUUAGAGAUCUUAUUCCUCCAAGUGAUUCCCCUGUCCACAAAACUUAUUACCAAGGGACCUUGACCUUAUCUUGAAACCUAUAAGUAAAAGCAGUGACUCGUCCUCUUUUCCUCACUCAAGUUCCUUCCUCCUGAGCUUUGAUGUUCUAAAGAUGCAGAAUUUGGAGCCAAGAUAGAUUUUAGGAUUUGCUGCUGGAAGGGACCUCCAGAUCAUCUAAUCCAUGUCACAAAAGUUAAAAAUGCGGCUCAGAGAGAUUAAGGAAGUUAAUCCAGUGUCACACAUGUCUGGGAAGUGGCAAAGCCAAGGUUUCAACCCAAGUCUUCUGACUACAAAUUUUCACUGCCUGUGAAAGAGAUUUUACGAAUUUACAGAAAAGCUUGGGUUAAGGCUAAUCUAGUCCAAUCCCCUCAUUUUAUAGAAGAAAUUUGAGGUGGGGAAGGGACUUGCACAAGGUCAUUAAGUGGCAGAACCAAAACUUUAGAAAUCUGCUCUUUCUACAUUGUUAAGGCAAAGAACCUUCCCACUGGGAUAAUUGGGCCAAAUUCCCAGAUGAAUUUACCUAGAACAGCCCUAGGAAUCACGUAGCAAAGAGUACCCAGCUGUCCAGCAGCAUGAUUUCCAAGGGACAACAUUGAGCUGGGAUUUGGGAGAGAAAAUUACAAUCCUAGGCCCCAUUUACUUACUAGCUAGAACAGCCAUUGUGUUGAGUGGAGGGUACCACAAUUUCCCUACCCUUUAUCUGUGAGAUAAAUAAGUGUGACUAGUGCUAACCGGCUUUGGACUCUUGUCCACCCUCCGCUUGAGUGUUCUGGCAGUCCUCUCAGCCAGAGCACCAAACACACCUUCUCCUUGGCCCCUUCCUGCUUUAAGAAAGGGAAAAUCCAAAGGAUCCCUGCUUCAUUCCACUUCAGCUUCAUCAUAGGAUCUCAAGUUGAAAAGGACCCUAAUGUUCAUUGAAUCUAAACCUUUCAUGUUAUUUAGAUAAGGAAACUGCAGUCCAGUGAAAAAGAUGAUUUGCCCAAGAUUAUUGAGAGUCUGGAUUCAGACCAGUCCUCUGAUGUUAAAUCUAAGGUUUUUAAGAACCUUAAGGUGUCUGGGUCCCAGUGGUCCCAAGGACCAUUUUUAGGGAUAUUUAAAAGACUUAAUGGUGGCAAAUACUGCAUGCUCUUUUAACUGCCAGCUGAGUGUGAGACUAUUUACAAGAUGACUCACCUUCCCCUCCGUUACUAGUUUAGGAACUUCCCAGAUCAUAUCCUUCAGGCCACAAACCCGUCCUUAGGGCCCCCUCAAGGUCUAGCCUUUAAGAGUGCCAGAACACAGGCCAAGGAUAAGGAAAAGAUGACUGAAGAAAAAGGGUAAGUCAAGUCCUCCAGGAUCUACAGCUGGAGAGGGGACAUUUGUCAGAAAUACAGCUUGUGAAGACCCCCAUCUCCCCAUAUAUUCCAAAGAUGGCUCCGUAGAUCUGUCUUUAAUUCCUCCAUCUUAGUAGCACUGUGAAACUUUAGAAAUAAAAAAAUGAGACUUCCCCUCUGUCUGGCCUUGAAAAAAGCAAAAUAAGUGCUGAGUAUGUUUCUCUGGUAGAAACUUUAAAUAUCAUCAAAUCCAAACCCUCUUGUUUUGCUUGAAGGGAAAUUGAGGCCUGAAAAAGGAAUAUAAUUUGUCCAAGAUCUCACAAGCAGUUAGUGGCAAAUCUAAAACUAGGACCUAGAGGGUCAGGCUCUUUCAGCAAAAGUCCUAGAUCACUUGCACCCUCCUCCCUGAAGCACUGGCUCAUCCCAGAUAUUCAGCUCUGCUAUGGACCUGGCUGGGCAUUUACAUACAGGUUUCUGGGCCAUAGGUGAGACCUUCUCUCUAGAUCCUUUUGAUUUCUCAGUAUUGCAGUAGAUCUUGUUUACCUUCCUCCAGAAAAUACAUUUUGUUUUGCCAACUCUCAGGGCACUGCCCCCACUUUUUCUCCUGCCCAGGAGUGGGCAGCUGUGCCAAAUCUGAAAGGGAAUCCCUUCAUAGCAGAGCCCUGGCUAAUAGCUGACCUCUGUCCAAGUGCCAGUGACAUCAUCCUGAUUAUCCAGGAGAUGAAACCUAACCAGUUAAUUUACAAUGAGGGGGUUGGACUAGAUAAUCUAAGGGCCCUUCCAGCUCUUUUAUAAUCUUAGAAUGCAAUUCUGAGGGACCUUGGCAGAAAAAAAAUAUAUAUAUCCAAAAGUUGUCAUGAGCCAGGCUUUAGCCUCAAGAAAUUGUGAUAGCUUAUGGACACCAUUCAGUUCAAAUCUAGCUUCUCUUGGGCUCCCACAUUCCUGACCUGCCCCUAUUUGUGCUCUGCCUAUUUUGCUCCAAUAUUCCUAGAUAUAGAGGAGAAAGCAGGUCAGGCUUUGGAGAAGGACAGAGUCCGACAGCCUCCCUGGGAACUUUUGGCAAGUGAAUGCCAGCCACCCCACUAAAAAUAAAGGACUCAAUUUCCCUAAGAUGAGUUUAUUUCUCCUAGAGAAGAAAUUAGUCUCAUGAUGACACUAGGCAGAGUACAGAGGUAGCCUAGGUAUCCAUGGAGACCCGGUUUCUAUUCUCCAAAUAGCCAAAUACCAAUAUUUAGAUGCCAAUAUUAAAACAACCAAUUAAGCUCCUGUAGUAUACAGAGUGUUGUGUUCUAGACUGGAAGCACAAUUUGGAUGAGAUGUAGUCACUGUCCUUGCAGAGUGAGUAUUUGUCUGCUUUUAUGAGUUCUUCUAGAGGAGUAAUCAGAGCUGGGAAGACUAAGCAGUUUUUGUCUCUGACAAACCUGCUCCACACUCUUAGCUUCACAUCCUACUUUCUCCACUGACUUUUCCUUCCCUGGCUUCUUGGAUGCUGCCCUAUGAGUCUGCAGCUGCCCUUUCCCACCUCUCAUCCAGGUCAGAAAUCCUCCUUAGAGAUUGCUUGCUCAGCCUCUCCAUAACUAGAUGAUGAAAUGGGAUCCCAAAGUCAGUGGGAGAACUAAGACUCCCUCAUGGGUCUCCAGCCUCUCAGCCCAUGAUAGGGGGCACUUCAUAGUAUUUUGUUACCCAUCUUCUCCUCCAGUAACCCUUCCCUCUUUGUUAGCUGCUUCUCCCUCAUCCCCUGUGCCCACUAUCAGGCCUGGGGUGGGGAGAGGCGAGUUGAGGAAAGUCAGGGAGUCAUGGCGCCUGUGCUCAAACCUGGAGGAGACAAGAAGGUGGUCACUCACUUUCUACAAAGAAAAAUCGUCGAUUUUUAUUCUUCUCUUAACAAUGUUCAUACAGUAGAUGAGAUGUUUUUGUUUAGGAUAAACAUAAAUACAAAUAACAGUUACUGCUUGUACUUUUCUGUCUGUGCAUUUGCCAAAAAGAAAAAUACUUUCUUUAGGACUUUUAAGUGCUCUCUACAAGGCAAGGAGGUAGCUUCUCUCCUGCUUCCAGUGGCAGUGGCAGCAGGUGGCCUAGGCCAAGCCCGAACCUUGGGACUAUUUGAGAGCAGCCAGCCAGCUUCUGAAGGUGUUAGCAAGAAUUGGGAAAAAGGAACUGAAAGCAGGGCAUGGAAAUGGGAAAUGGAAUUUCCAUUGCAUCUGCAAAGCCAUUCACUUUUUUCCGUGGCUAGAGAGGAUGGAGGGGCCCUGGAGCACUAGGAUUUCCACCUGCCCUGGCCUAAACAGGCUCUCACCCAGACCCACCUGGGAACCUGCAGAAAGGUUAAUCCCAUGUGAUUGUAGGGUGAUGUAAUCUCUCCUCCUCAAGAUGGCCUGGCCUAGAGUGAGAUUGCCGCCAACUCCCCUCCCCCAACCAGCAACCCCUGAGCCGAAGAAUGCCCCUGGGUCAUGACCUUUGACUCCAGGGAUGGAAGCUUCUGAGGCCUGCUCUGCAGCAGAAGGGGCUGCCUUUUGUCCUUCAGUCCCAAAGUCCUCAGAAAUGGGGCCUCCAGGCAACUCCUCCAUCUCCUUCACAGCCUAAUUCCCCGGGCCCUUGCCUUCUGGAAGGCCAGACUGGCCGAGCUCAGCCCCUGAGGAGUUUCCAAACUAGGUAAACACACCGUGGCUCCCCCUCAAGGAGCACUUGGCCAGGAAGUGGACAGAGCAUUUAACUCCCUGAGAAGAUGUGUGGAACAUUUUCCUUUCUUCUUUCUUUGCCAACUGAUACCAUUGCCAAACACCCAUGGAGUUUAAGGGAGACGGUUUCAGGAAGUGUUCUCGAGGGCUAGCAAGGCGCCCAGCUGCCCUGGGAACACGCCGAGUUAGAGGGGGACUCCAGGUGUGCCAUCAGCUACUCUCGCACAGUGUUGACUGUUUUGUGGAACUGUUGUUACAAAGUGAAUUGAUACCACAAUAAAAACAAAAAAAGGCUUACUUUUCACUUUCCUGUAUUUUCUUUCAUGUUGUUUUUUAAGUGGAGGAGGCUUUAGGGGAACCAGCAGCCUGGGGUCCACACUACAGCACACAGGGACAUCGGCACCAAAAGCAGCCCCCCCUUACUCUUCAAGGCAAGGCACACUGUCAUCUUACAGAUGG
rnacentral:lncRNA from 1 species